rnacentral:tRNA from 1 species
CGCGGGAUAGAGUAGCGGUCACUCCGGGGUCUCAUAAGCCCUGUUAGGCGGGUUCGACUCCCGCUCCCGCAACCA